rnacentral:rRNA from 1 species
CUCCUACGGGAGGCAGCAGUGGGGAAUCUUGCGCAAUGGGCGAAAGCCUGACGCAGCGACGCCGCGUGAGUGAUGAAGGCCUUCGGGUUGUAAAGCUCUGUGGGGAGAGAAGAAUUAGUGCGGGCUAAUACUCCGCAUGAUGACGGUAUCUCCUUAGCAAGCACCGGCUAACUCUGUGCCAGCAGCCGCGGUAAGACAGAGGGUGCAAACGUUGUUCGGAAUUACUGGGCGUAAAGCGUGUGUAGGCGGCCAUGUGAGUUGGAUGUGAAAGCCCCGGGCUCAACCCGGGAAGUGCAUUCAAAACUGCGUGGCUUGAGUACUGGAGAGGUUGGUAGAAUUCUCGGUGUAGAGGUGAAAUUCGUAGAUAUCGAGAGGAAUACCGGUGGCGAAGGCGGCCAACUGGACAGAUACUGACGCUGAGACACGAAAGCGUGGGGAGCAAACAGGAUUAGAUACCCUGGUAGUCCACGCCGUAAACGAUGGGUGCUAGGUGUCACUGGCAUUGACUCCGGUGGUGCCGUAGCUAACGCAUUAAGCACCCCGCCUGGGAAGUACGGCCGCAAGGCUAAAACUCAAAGGAAUUGACGG